GAUUUUAUCUGAUCUCCAUUCCUUUUGUAUCCUGCGCCACAUGGAUCCGGCGUUCUCCUUGAAGCCAGACCGAUUUAACCGUAGAGGUGCAGGCUUAUACUGCAAGACCCACAUGUUGACAUCAUGUGCAGAGGGAAGGGUCCCACUCUGAUGCUCCCAUUGAAAGCUGCAGAGGCGCGUGGUGCACUAGCAAUAUGUCACCUGUAUUGUAGCAAAGAAUACAUCCAGUGAUGCGUCGGCGGCAGGGUAUAUUUUUUAAACUCCUGGGCAACUUCAGAGCCUGGGACUUGCCCUCAGACUAUCGCAAUCUGGAUACGUAUUUGUUGGAAGUCCCAGGCAAGUCAAUGGGAUGUAUGCUUUCAAGCUAGUUUUUAGUAGAGUAACUUAACAGCUAUAAACAGUUUUAAAGCAGUACAAUAAUAAAGCAAUAUCAAAAAGUGUACAGAACUAGUACAAGUAACAUGGUGCACAAAAGAAGGCGCUCUACGGCAACCAGUAGUGUCAAUCAAGAAGCAGACAAGCCACUUUUCCCACGAAGAUAAACACAUCUAAACCUUUAUGUGAAAUAAAAAAUAUUAGUAAACACAAGUA